rnacentral:rRNA from 1 species
GAUGAACGCUGGCGGCGUGCUUAACACAUGCAAGUCGAGCGAAGCGCUUUUGCGGAUUUCUUCGGAUUGAAGCAAUUGUGACUGAGCGGCGGACGGGUGAGUAACGCGUGGGUAACCUGCCUCAUACAGGGGGAUAACAGUUGGAAACGGCUGCUAAUACCGCAUAAGCGCACAGUACCGCAUGGUACCGUGUGAAAAACUCCGGUGGUAUGAGAUGGACCCGCGUCUGAUUAGGUAGUUGGUGGGGUAACGGCCUACCAAGCCGACGAUCUGUAGCUGGUCUGAGAGGACGAUCAGCCACACUGGGACUGAGACACGGCCCAG